CAAGGCUGCAGAUUGUGCUCAGACCGGCCAGCCAGCCAAGGUUUUCUCUCCCUUCCGCCUCUAAAGGUAGGCAGUCUACGGCACACCGCUGCAUCUCUUCAUCCACACUCAACAUUUCGCUCUCUGUCUAACGCGACCAGACCGCCGGGGAGCUGCACGGUGAAGCUUUCUAUCUUUUUUUUUUUUUUUUUGAAAAGGGAAAAUGUUGCAGCGCGCAUGGCGUUUGCAUAAGCGAUGAGUUUGGGUGAUGCUGAAGCGGCGACCUCUAGUCUGGAUGCGAUCGACAGGAUGCGAUAAGUGUUUUUUUUUUUUUUAUUAAUUAAUUCCUCUCUGGAAGUUUGGGGGAUGAAAUUAGAGGAUGAUGCAAUGAGAUAACCGCCGUCAACAUGUCUGCGCUCCCAUCUUUCAGUUGAACUGGAGAGCGGGCUGCUGUUUUAUACUGUGCACUGUACAGUAUAAGUAGUGCAGUUUAGAUUACACGUGUGACCCUGGUGGAAAAUACUGUAUGCAAUAUAUUGUGGUGCAAAUAAGCGGCAGGUCGCAGAUUUAGUAGGCAACAAUAUUUCAAUGCAUUUGUCAUGCAUUCGCAAUACUCAAUUGCGCUAAAAUAUUACUAUGAAGGCACAGGCAGCCGAAUGCUGCAUACUAUAAAUACAUUUACUUACUAAACUCUGUUUGUGAUUGAUAGUUGUCAAACUUCCUGGUGAAAACUUUUCAAUGUUGCUUUUGCUGCUGUUUCAAAUUUAAGUUCAAAACAAUGUAAUCAAUCCCACCAAGCAGCAAUCAGUUCUGAGCAUCCCGAGAGAAACAGUCACAUACACAAACAUAAUCAUACAGAUACACACACACACACACACACACACACACACACACACACACACACACACACACACACACACACACACACCAAGGAGCUAAAACGUGGAAUAAAAUCUAUAAAUAAUGGCAAAAAAGAAACCUAUGUAGCAUUCAAAAGUCUUAUUGCAGAGGGGAUGAAUGAUUUUGUAUGGCGAUUCGUUUUACAAGCACAUAACGCCUUAAUAGCAACAGAGAUAAUUCACUUGCAAAGACUUGUCUCAAAGAAGCCAACAUGUUGGCUUUCCGGAUGACUGAUUGCAGAAGAAUGCAUGUCUUUUGUUUCACUCCUAUGGUCUUAGAACAGUUUCUGUCUUUUACUGCGAUGCUGUGAAACCACCUCUCAAUGAAAGAUGAAAACGACAGAGGAUAACCAGGCUCAGAACUAGCUGUAAUUUGUAAUUUUACAUGUCUAAAUUACGGUGAUUUGAAUGAAUUAAAAUACCUACAAAUACAGGUACAUCAUCACAUCGAUGCAAAAAUCAUGUGAAGAUCCAAUAUGAAAAUAAAGAAGUCCUGCUAAUUGAUUUGCAACAUUGACCACAAUGACCUAAUACAUUGACAUAUGGGCGAGCUACCUUGGUGUAAACAAAAAUCCAUGAUGAUAGAUAUAUUUAUAUUGUUGUAUAUACAGUAUACUGUCAUAUCGGCCAACCCUAACUCUUACAGUAUUAGACUGUUUGAACAAGUCAUUAUCAGCUGCAGUGAUGAAACCACUCGUUUUGACCAAAGUCCAGAUGAUGCAUUAGUGUUUCCUUUGAUUGUUUAGAUGUAUUUUGAAUAGCUCCAACAUUGAGCUAGCACAGACUCACUGGCUGGCUGCUAGCAUGCUCCCCUGUUGGGGCUCAUCAUGCUCUGAUUAAGGCCUUGCAGAUUAUCAUGUUUUGGCGCAGCCUAAUGCAACUCUGAUAAUCAGAGCAUGGCUAUUACUGUACUGAGGACGACCAGAAUAAGCCAUAUUUUGUUCCUGUUGACAAGUGAUGGUGGACAAAUGCAACCAUCAGUAAUAUGCUGCCUGGGCGGCAGCUCAUCGUAAGUUUACACUCUCCAUAUACACUGUGCUGAGUUGCACAAUAGCACUCAAGGAACAAAUAUGUACCAUGUAUAUCUACCAUGUAAUAAGCACUUUAUUUAAAUAAGAGUCCUUGUUAACAUUGUGGAAUACAUAUUAACAUUGUGGAAUGUAAUCAUCCGAGUUGAUAAUCAAAAUACUAAGAGCUGCAUGCUGAUUGAAUUGAGAUGCUUUAUCUAAAUGUAAUAGUUGGACUCACAUUUCUGUCUAUAAAGUCCAAGAGUAUUUUGUAUAGCUGUGUUUUACACUCACCUCAGACACACAAAUCUGACUGGAGCCAAAAGUCUGGAACCCAUCUGCAGUCAAAAUCAGAUUUGUUAAGCAUAUUAUGUUAGAUUAUGUUCAGGGGUCUUUGUUGGAAAAACAGGCCAAACAGCAGAGGUUCACACGGCCCUCCGUCAUUUAGUAUAAGAGCCACAAUAUCUCACAUCUGAAGGAGACGUUAUGUAAGAAAGACAUACAGUAUGUAGUCCAUAUUUUGUUUCCAGCAGCAGACGCAGGUGUAGAAACUGUCCAGUAGCGCAGCAGUCUGUGAUGUAAUCAGAUUGAAUCGAGUGCAUAUCGCUGAAACACGUUAGUGGAAAUAAAGAAUUUCUGUGGUUGCAAUGAGUCAUUUUGUGCAAAGCCUGAGGUGACACAGCAAAGAAUGUGAAGACCUGCAGGAUUGUGCAAGUCCCCCUGAGGGGAUAAUACAUAAAGAGGUCUACAGUAAGAAAAGCAGCUGCAGGGAUUUGUUUGUGCAGUGUGAACAAUCUUGUCACAACUUUAUAUAAUGUUUUUUUCUGGAGAGGGUGGCUAUUCCACAGUUGUACGGUUUGUGUGAGAAAGCUACAUCAAUGUAUUUACAAAGUAUGAUUUACAGGAAGUGAGUUUUCUCUAUUGUAAAAACAUGACUGUGAAACUUCAGAUGUUUGUCCAGGCUUAGAUCUCAGUCAAAAAGCUUCCCACAGUUUGACCAUACGUUAGUAGGUAGUGGACAAAAGAGUAAUAAUAACUUAAAACUUCUAUGUGUAAGAAGAAUAAUCCAGACAUUUAUACAGCCGCGCCAUACAUGGCACACACAAAGCAGAAGCUUUAUAUCACAGGGUUGAUCUGACUGUCACAAGUAGAGCAGUGGAAUCUGAAAUUAUAUGAUAAAUUAUACUGUUUAUGAAAAAAGUACUCACCCCUGAAAUCUUUUUAACCAAAGUAAAUGUGGCAGCAUUGCCAGGGCCAGACAAGAAUCGUUGAUUUUCAAAACUUGAAGUACAUUAGCGGUAGUAAAUCUACACAUGUCAUUAUUUUCAACAAUCAUGAAGCCAGACAAUCCCGCUACAUCAGUCUAAAGUAAAUAGAGAUGAGGUUAUCGUCUGUUCACACCUGCCUGCUGGGAUCUUGUUUUACAUAAGUGGCCACAUUUGAUCCGUUGUUUGAAGCCACAUGGAUGCGAAGGAUCAGUUAUCGGGACAUGGGACGUAUAAGAGAGCGUUGGUGGACCACCUUGAGCACAAAACGACAUAUAUACAACAGACACGAUAGGAAUGUAUCAAAAUUGACAAAAUUGAGUUUAAUUUUGUUAUUUAAACACUACUUAGAGUUAACAGAAUUUCCAGAAGACUGUUGUUGUGAUCACUAACAAGCACUCUUUCAGGCAGAUUAAUUUAGCUUUUUAUACUUAAAGCUGCACUUAUCAAUAUUUUUAUACAAAAAAAGGUGUCAAAUGACUAUGUAUAAUUUAAAAUAUGUCACUUGUAAUGACAAACAUAGACAAUCAUCACCCAACUCUGCAGUUCCCCUCUCUUCUAUGGAGCGUUUCAGUGUCUUUCAGCUCAUUGUUUUGGUUUUACAGCCCGAAACUUUAGUCACUCUAAUCAGUGUUGUUACCAGCCACUCUUUUCAGUCAAAAAAAGCUCUGAAUAACUCAAUGUAUGCUACCUGUUUGGCUUCAAAUGACAGACAGACAAAAUUUGCAACUAAUUGGUAAACAUAGUGGAGCAUCUAGCUGCUAAAGAAGCAGAUAUUUCCUUCAGGAGUUGAUGGAGACCAAACCAGAGCUAACAGCAGAGUGAAUAUUGGACUUAGAUUUGUGAGGUGGGUAAUAACACAAUUUGUGGAAACAGACAAAUGUUUGCUUAAUAUGGCGAUCAUGUAUGUUCAUACUGCUUUAAAUUGUUUAAAUUAUUUUGUUCUGUUUUUAGGUGAGAAAUGGAGACUCUCAAUCAUAAACUGAACACUUACUUAGAGUCAUGGAUGGGACCCAGGGAUCAGCGGGUGCGGGGAUGGCUGCUGCUCGACAACUACCCACCAACCUUUGCACUCACAGUCAUGUACCUUCUGAUCGUGUGGAUGGGGCCCAAGUACAUGAAACACAAGCAGCCGUACUCCUGCAGAGGCCUCCUGGUGGUUUACAAUCUGGGCCUCACACUCUUGUCCUUCUACAUGUUCUAUGAGCUUGUUACUGCUGUGUGGAGCGGUGGCUACAACUUCUACUGCCAGGACACUCACAGUGCACAGGAAGUGGAUAAUAAGAUCACAAAUGUCCUGUGGUGGUACUACUUCUCCAAGCUCAUCGAGUUCAUGGACACCUUUUUCUUCAUACUACGAAAGAACAAUCACCAGAUCACGUUUCUUCACAUCUACCACCACGCUAGCAUGCUGAAUAUCUGGUGGUUUGUUAUGAACUGGGUCCCCUGCGGCCAUUCGUACUUUGGCGCCUCCCUGAACAGCUUCGUCCACGUGGUGAUGUAUUCUUACUACGGCCUGUCGGCCAUCCCAGCCAUACGGCCGUACCUUUGGUGGAAGAAGUACAUCACACAGUUACAGCUGAUCCAGUUCUUUUUAACCAUGUCCCAGACGAUGUCUGCAGUCAUAUGGCCAUGUAACUUCCCCAAGGGUUGGCUGUACUUCCAAAUAAGUUACAUGGUCACACUCAUUUUCUUUUUCUCAAACUUCUACAUUCAGACUUACAAGAAGCACAGUGGUUCUCUAAAGAAGGAGCACCAAAAUGGUUCUCCUGCAUCAACAAAUGGACAUGCAAAUGGCACGCCAGCCAUGGAGCGCGCUGCACACAAGAAACUGAGGGUGGAUUGACAUUUGAGAAACCGCCACCUAAUUCUCACUGUAGCGUGUUAGCUAAUGCUGCUAGGAGAUGAUGCUAGAAAUAAUGCGGGGUGAUGGUGUUGAGGUUCUCCCCUGAAAACAGCGGUAUAGUAAGCAUCUGUUUAAUCAUUUCCAUGAUGUGCUUAACAAGUGUGUCUUCAGGACUUCAUAGAUCAGGCUUCAAGACCCAAAGUUUAUCGGUUCACCGCCAGAAUAAAUCAGGCAACACUUGCUCCUCCUUCAUUACCACCACUUUGGGGCCCUUGAGCAAGGCCCUUAACGCCAACCGCUUCAGUGGAGCCGCAGAUCAGACUGUGGUUGUACUGGGCAGCUUCCAGGUGUGAAACAAUGUAGAAAUUUGGAUGUUUAGAGGUGCUGGUGGGAAAAUUUUGUUACCUUUGAACAGAGCCAGGCUAGCAGUUUCCCCCGGUUCCUAGUCUUUAUGCUAAGCUAAGCUAACUUUUUGCUGGUUGCAGUUUCAUAUUGAAUUUACAGGCAGAGGAGUAGAAGGGACGCAGUUAUAAGUACAGACAAUAAAUCCUCUAAAGGGCUUUACUGUUGAAGAUAGCCAAUGUACAACAAAACACAACCAAGGUUUUUUAUCAUUUUGAUGAUGAACUAAAAAAUGUACAAAGCAAAUAGGGAUCAAAAUUGAUCAGUAUAUUGACUCACCCAAUAGGCAAAAAAGAGCAGAAUAAAACCACUGUUGGGGGGACACCUACUUAAUCUCAUACAUUUCACCUUUCACUUGGAUUUAGUUCACAUUUGCACUUAUAGUGCCCUGAUAUCUGCCUACCUCAAAGCAAUAUAAAACUGGAGCCUAGAGGCUUUAAAAUUAGAAGUUAUCAUGUGCAAAUAAACUCAAACUUAAUUUCAAAUUAAACAAAAUUAAGUUUUUAAUUGCCUUUUGUUGUUUGUAUUUGUAUUGUCUAUAUCUGUCUUUUUCUACCAACUCAUACAAAAGCAGAAAUAGAUUUAUUUGCCAUUUUAAUUCGGAAUUUGCAACAGGCUAUUGUCCUUCCUUUAGAAUAUGUUUUGAAAAACCCUCUACAGUAGAGUCAACAAAGCAGAAAUCAUUUUAGCCUAAUCCAACACAACUUUCACAUUUAUUUUUUUCUCUGCAAAUCCUGUUUGAUCUGUCCGCGCUAGGUUCCCAGAAAAUGUAAUGCGUGGAUUAUACUGGUGUGUCCUCAGCAAGACAAAUGAUGCACUGUAGAAGUUUUUCCCUGAGGUUGUGUAAUAGGACCUCUAUAACUCUAUGAUGUAUCUUUGUUCCUAUAGCCAUGAGGAUGCUUUGAUUCACAUCACUACCCUGAGGCUGAUGUUUUAGUUUUGCAACAUUUACCAAAUUCCCUUCUAUGUGGUAUUUGUCAAUACAAGUCAUUCAGUUAAAACAAAUCAAACUAUAAGAGCAUAUUCUGUUCACCACUGUUUAUUUGAGGGAGAAAGUGCACCAUGAAACAAACACCGUAUGAACAUUCAUUGCUUGGAGCAGGUGGGAAAGGUUGCUCAUUAUUUUAGCUCACAGCAGAUAAUUUUUCUGAAAUCAGAAAAUAAUUAGUAUUCUAUCAUGUAAACCUGAAAUAAAGUGGCUGCAUGUAGGAAACAUGAGGGUUCACUUGUCAAGACUGUAAUCCAGCUGCAACACAAAUUAAACAAGCUGAGUAUGCAUUUUCUUUAAA